rnacentral:rRNA from 1 species
GAUGAACGCUGGCGGCGUGCCUAAUACAUGCAAGUCGAGCGAACAGACGAGGAGCUUGCUCCUCUGACGUUAGCGGCGGACGGGUGAGUAACACGUGGAUAACCUACCUAUAAGACUGGGAUAACUUCGGGAAACCGGAGCUAAUACCGGAUAAUAUAUUGAACCGCAUGGUUCAAUAGUGAAAGACGGUUUUGCUGUCACUUAUAGAUGGAUCCGCGCCGCAUUAGCUAGUUGGUAAGGUAACGGCUUACCAAGGCGACGAUGCGUAGCCGACCUGAGAGGGUGAUAGGCCACACUGUAACUGAGACACGGUCCAGACUCCUACGGGAGGCAGCAGUAGGGAAUCUUCCGCAAUGGGCGAAAGCCUGACGGAGCAACGCCGCGUGAGUGAUGAAGGUCUUCGGAUCGUAAAACUCUGUUAUUAGGGAAGAACAAAUGUGUAAGUAACUAUGCACGUCUUGACGGUACCUAAUCAGAAAGCCACGGCUAACUACGUG